rnacentral:misc_RNA from 1 species
GAUGAAGAACGUAGCGAAAUGCGAUACGUAAUGUGAAUUGCAGAAUUCAGUGAAUCAUCGAGUCUUUGAACGCACAUUGCGCCCCCUGGUAUUCCGGGGGGCAUGCCUGUCCGAGCGUCAUUGCUGCCCUCAAGCACGGCUUGUGUGUUGGGCCUCCGUCCUCCUCCCGGGGGACGGGCCCGAAAGGCAGCGGCGGCACCGCGUCCGGUCCUCGAGCGUAUGGGGCUUCGUCACCCGCUCUUGUAGGCCCGGCCGGCGCUUGCCACCACAUCAAUCUUUUUUCCAGGUUGACCUCGGAUCAGGUAGGGAUACCCGCUGAACUUAAGCAUAUCAAUAAGCGGAGGA